AUUUCAAACACUUUAAGGGUGGGGCGAAAGAAGGCGUUUCUAUAAGGCUGCCAGCACUUCAACGGCAUUUAGCAAAUACUAGUUAUUUCCGCUAUUACCCGGUGAAUCGCGGUCUUUGCGGCCCGAAACCUUCCAACCCAUUAUCCUUGGACUUGCCGCCGGCCUGGCGUCCCCGCGCCGCGACACAGAUGGAACGGACCGUGACGUCACGAGACCGCGACUCAAUCAGACGCGGCGUUCGGGAAAUUUUAAAUUUAAAGGCGGGGUGGCCCGUACGCUCUGAAGCGCCGGCGGUGGAGGUUUCUGACGUAUUCCCUGGGGUCCAGCCGGGCAGGAUGGCGGAGGAAGGAGCCGUAGCCGUCUGCGUGCGGGUUCGGCCGCUCAAUAACAGAGAAGAAGCGCCUGACAAAGAUACUCAAGUUUACUGGAAAACUGACAAUAAUACAGUUUUUCAAGUUGAUGGGAGUAAAUCCUUCAAUUUUGAUCGUGUCUUUCAUAGUAAUGAAACUACUAAAAAUGUGUAUGAAGAAAUUGCAGUACCAAUCAUAGAUUCUGCCAUUCAAGGCUACAAUGGUACUAUAUUUGCCUACGGGCAGACUGCUUCAGGAAAAACGUAUACUAUGAUGGGUUCACAAGAGUAUUUGGGAGUAAUACCCAGGGCAAUUCAUGACAUUUUCCAGAAAAUUAAGAAGUUUCCUGAUAGGGAAUUUCUCUUACGUGUGUCUUAUAUGGAGAUAUACAAUGAUACCAUUACAGACUUACUUUGUGACACUCAAAAAAUGAAGCCUUUAAUAAUUCGAGAAGACUUCAAUAGAAACGUGUACGUGGCUGACCUCACAGAAGAAGUUGUUUAUACAUCAGAAAUGGCUUUGAAGUGGAUCACUAAGGGAGAAAAGAACAGGCAUUAUGGAAUUACAAAAAUGAAUCAGCGAAGUAGUCGUUCUCAUACCAUUUUUAGGAUGAUUUUGGAAAGCAGAGAGAAAGGUGAACCUUCUAAUUUUGAAGGAUCUGUCAAAGUGUCCCAUUUGAAUUUGGUCGAUCUUGCAGGCAGUGAACGGGCUGCCCAAACAGGUGCUGAAGGUUUACGACUCAAGGAAGGCUGUAAUAUAAAUCGAAGUUUAUUUAUUUUGGGACAAGUGAUCAAGAAACUUAGUGAUGGACAAGUUGGUGGUUUCAUAAAUUAUCGAGAUAGCAAAUUAACACGAAUUCUCCAGAAUUCCUUGGGAGGAAAUGCAAAAACACGUAUCAUCUGCACAAUUACUCCAGUGUCUUUUGAUGAAACACUUAGUACUCUCCAGUUUGCCAGCACUGCCAAAUAUAUGAAAAAUACUCCUUAUGUUAACGAGGUAUCAAGUGAUGAAGCUCUCCUGAAAAGAUACAGGAAAGAAAUAAUGGAUCUUAAAAAGCAAUUAGAGGAGGUUUCUUUAGAGACUCGAGCCCAGGCAAUGGAAAAAGACCAACUGGCCCAACUCUUGGAAGAAAAAGAUCUACUUCAAAAAGUCCAGAUUGAGAAAAUUCAAAACCUAACACGGAUGCUGGUGACAUCUUCUUCUCUAGCAUCACAGCAGGAAUUAAAGGCUAAAAAAAAACGAAGAGUUACUUGGUGCGCAGGGAAAAUUAACAAAAUGAAGGACUCAAACUAUGUAAAUGAAUUUAAUAUGGCAGUGAAUGUAACAACAAGAACACAUAAGGCUGCUGUAAGUUUAGGAGAAAUUGAUGAAUCUCUCUGUUCAGAGUCUGAUAUUUUCAGUAACACUCUUGAUACAUUGACUGAGAUAGAAUGGAAUCCAGCAACAAAGCUACUAAGUCAGGAAAACUUAGAAAGUGAAUUGAAUUCACUUCGUGCUAACUAUGAUAACCUGGUACUAGACUAUGAACAUUUAAGAAGAGAAAAUGAAGAAAUGGAAUUGAAAUUAAAAGAAAAGAAUGAUUUGGAUGAAUUUGAAGCUCUAGAAAGAAAAGCAGAGAAAGAUCAAGAGAUGCAACUAAUUCAUGAAAUUUCCAACUUAAAGAAUUUAGUUAAGCAUGCAGAAGUAUAUAAUCAAGAUCUUGAGAAUGAACUAAAUUCAAAAGUAGAGCUGCUUAGAGAAAAGGAAGACCAGAUUAAGAAGCUACAGGAAUAUAUAGAGUCUCAGAAGUCAGAAAGUAUGAAAAUGGACUCAUCAUACUCAUCGGAAAACACUGAAGACCUAAAACAAAUGAGACAGACUCUGCUUGAUGCCGAAACUGUAGCUCUUGAUGCUAAGAGAGAAUCAGCCUUUCUUAGAAGUGAAAAUCUAAAGCUGAAAGAGAAAAUGAAAGAACUUGCAAGUACAUGCAAGCAGAUGGAAAAUGAUACUCAGUUAUAUCAAAGUCAGUUGGAGGCGAAAAAGAAAAUGCAAGUUGAUCUGGAGAAAGAAUUACAAUCUUCUUUUAAUGAAAUAACAAAACUCACCUCCCUUAUAGAUGGCAAAGUUCCAAAAGAUUUUCUGUCUAAUAUGGAAUUGGAAAGAAAAAUAACCCAUCUACAGAAAGAAUUGAAUAAAGCAGUCGAAGAAAAUGAAACUUUGCGUAAUGAAGUUAAUUUGCUGUCAGAAUUGAAAUCUUUACCUUCAGAAGUAGAAAUGCUAAGGAAAGAGAUACGGGAUAAAUCUGAAGAGCUCUAUACAGUAACAUCAGAAAAAGACAAAUUGUCUUCUGAAGUAGUUGAUAAGGAAAGUAGAAUUCAAGGUUUACUUGAAGAAAUUGGGAGCACUAAAAAUGACCUACCAGCUCCCCAGUUGAGUUGUGAAAGCACUGAUCAAGAAUUCCAACAUGUUAAAAAUCACCAUAUUGAAUUUGAGCAAAAGUAUAAGAUGGUCCUUGAAGAAAAUGCAAAAUUGAAUCAAGAAAUAGGAAAUCUCUAUAAAGAAGCUGAAGAACUUGGGUUAAAUUUAGAGGCUUUGAAGACAGAGCUCUCUCACAAAACCCAAGAACUUCAACAAAAAACAACUGAGACUCAAGAAAGAUCAAACGAAGUGGAAGAGCUGAAGAAACAAUUAGAAAGUAGGGAAUCUAGACUGCAAAUGGUAGAAAAGGAGAAAACACUGAUUACUGAGAAACUUCAACAAACAUUAGUAGAAGUAAAAACCUUAACCCAAGAAAAAGAUGAUCAAAAACAACUCCAAGAGAGCCUACAAAUUGAGAGGGACCAACUCAAAAGUGACAUUCAGGAUACUAUAAAUAUGAACAUAGACACCCAGGAACAGCUACGAAAUGCGCUUGAGUCUUUGAAACAACACCAAGAAACAAUUAACGUGCUAAAAAUGAAAAUUUCUGAGGAAACUUCCAAGAAUUUGCAUAUAGAAGAAAACUUAGAAGAAACUAGGGAUGAAUUUCAGGAAAAGAUGGUUGUCAUAGAUAAAAGCCAAAAUUUGGAAACCACAAAAACUCAAGCUCUGAUCACAGAUGCUGCGGAUAAUGAGCUAACUGAGCAAGAGAAAAAGAUAUUUUCUUUAAUACAGGAGAAAAAUGAACUGCAACAAAUGUUAGAGAGUAUUACAGCAGAAAAGGAGCAACUGAAGACUGACCUAAGAGAAAACAUUGAAAUGACCAUUGAAAACCAGGAAGAAUUAAGAUUUCUUGGAAAUGAACUUAAAAAACAACAGGAUAUUGUUGCACAAGAAAAGAACCAUACCAUUAAGAAAGAAGAAGAGCUUUCUAGGACCUGUGAAAAACUAUCAGAAGUUCAAGAAAAACUAAAGGAAAAGAGCCAACAACUGCAAGAAAAACAGCAGCAACUGCUUAGUGUACAAGAAGAGAUGAGUGAGAUGCAGAAAAAGAUGAAUGAAAUGGAAAACUUAAAGAAUGAACUAAAGAACCAAGAAUUAACAUUGGAGCGUAUAAAAAUUGAGAAGAUAGAGUUAGCUCAGAAACUUCAUGAAAAUUGUGAGGAAAUGAAAUUCAUAACCAAAGAAAGAAACGACCUAAAGAAAUUACAGGAGUCAUUUGAAGUAGAGAGAAAUAAGCUUAAAGAACACAUAAGACAGAUUGAAGCUACAGGUCUAGAAACAAAAGAAGAACUACAGAUGGCCCACAUGUACCUAAAAGAACACCAAGAAACUAUUGAAGAACUAAGAAGAGACAUUUCUGAGAAGACGGCUCAGAUAAUAAAUACUCAGAAGAACUUAGAAAAAUCUGGUACUGAACUGCAAGAAAAGAUCCCAGUGCUUCAUGAGGAGCUACUUCCUAAUGUGAAAGAAAUCACUGAUACUCAGGAAACAGUGGAUGAGCCAGAGCUGUUGAAAGCACAAUCCAAAGCCAGAGAUUCAGCAACACUAGCAAGUAUAGAAGUGACAAGUCUCAGGGUGGCUGCAAAACUUCAGGAAAGUCAGGAGAUAAAAUCUCUCACUAAGGAAAGAGAGAAUCUUAAAAUGACAAUAGAAGCACUUCAGAUUGAACGUGACCAACGGAAGAUGAGAGAAACUUUGGCUAAAAUCCAAACAUCUCAAGACAAACAAGAACAGUCCUUCAAUAUGAAAGAAAAGGACAGUGAGACUAAGAAAAUAAUGAAUGAGAUGGAGCAAUUGAAGGACCCAUUCAAAGACUCAGCACUACUAAAGCUAGAAAUGGAAAAGCUCGAAUUGUCUGAAAGACUUCAAGAAAGUCAUGAUGAAGUCAAAGCUGUAGCAAAGGAGAGAGCUAACCUUCAGAGGCUACAAGAACUUCUUCAAUCUGAAAAGAACCAACUCCAAGAAAACCUAAGAGAAAUGGCCGCUAAACAACUAGAAACUGAAGAGAAACUUAAAGUUGCUCAUUGUCACCUAAAAGAACAAGAGGAAAUUAUUGGUAAACUAAGAGCGGAUCUAUCAAAGAGAGAAACUGAAAUAUCACACAUUCAACAGGAACUGGAAACAGCAAAUGAUAAAUUACAGAAAAAGACUCAAGAGCUUUAUGAGAAACAGUUUAUUACUGUCAAGGAAAUCAGUGAGACUCAGGAAACAAUGAGUGAACUGGAACAGUUAAAGGAACAUCUCAAAGCCAAAGGCUCGUCACUACAAAGAAAAGAAAGUGAGAGGCUCACAUUGACUGAAAAACUUCAGGCAAGUCAGGAAGAAUUAAAAACCAUAAUUAAGGAAGGAGAUGAACUGGAAAGGAUACAGGAGGCCCUUCAAAAAGAAACAGACCAACUCAAAGAAAACACUAAAGAAAUUGUAGCUGAUAUUCAAGAACUUCAGGAAAAAGAACAUCAACUUCUUGAGAUGAAGGAUGUCAGUGAGACUUGGGAAAAAAUAUGUGAAAUGGAAAACUUGAAGAAGCAACUUGAGGCCCAAAAGUCAACUCUAGAAAAUAUAGAAUGGGAGAACAUCAAGUUAAUUCAGAGACUCAAUGAAAAUAUUGCAGAAAUAAGAUCUGUUACAAAAGAAAGAGAUGACCUUAGGAAUAUGGAGGAGACUCUCAAAGUAGAGAUAGACCAGCUCAAGGAAAACCUAAGAGAAACAACAAAUAGAGACCUGGAAAGACAAGAGGAACUAAGAACUGCCCAGAUGAAUCUGAAAGAGCACCAAGAAACUAUCGAUAAACUCAGAGGAAUUGUUUCAGGGAAGACAGAUGAAAUAUCAAAUAUCCAAAUGAAUUUAGAAAACACAAAUAUGGCCUUAAAAGCACAGGAUCUAGAAAGACAAGAAGAACUAAGAAUAGCUCACUUACAUCUGAAGGAGUACCAGGAAAUUAUUGAUAAACUCAGAGGGAUUGUGUCUGAGAAGGCAGAAGAACUAUCAAAUAUGCAAAUGGAUUUAGAAAAUUCAAAUGCUAAAUUACAAGAAAAGGUCCAAGAACUGAAAGCAAAUGAACAGCAACUUUUUAAGUUAAAAGAAGAAAUUAGUGAGACUAAGAAAAAAAUGUGUGACAUUGAGCAACUGAAGAACGAAUUUAAGUGCCAGAGUUUAACUAUGAACAAAAUAGAAAUGGAGAACUUAAACUUGGCUCAGAAGCUUCAUGAAAACCUUGAAGAAAUGAAAUCUGUAAUGAAAGAAAGAGAUAACCUAAGGGGGCUGGAAGAGACCCUCAGACUGGAGAGAGACCUACUCAAGGCGGACCUGCAAGGAAGCACAGCUAGGGAACUGGAGACACAAGAACAACUAAAAGUUGCUCAUAUCCAUUUGAAAGAACACCAAGAGACUAUCGAUAAAUUGAGAGAGAGAGUUUCAGAAAAGACGUCUCAGAUUUCACAUGUGCAAAAGGAUUUAAAUAAAUCAAAAGAUGAAUUACAGAAAAAGAUACAAGAACUUAAGAGAAAAGAGCUUCAACUUCUUAAAAUGAAAGAAGAUGUCAGUAAAACUCAUAAAAAAGUGAAUGAAAUGAAACAGUUGAAGAAGCAGUUUGAGGCCCAAAAUUUAUCUAUGCAAAGUGUGGAAAUGGAUAAUUUGCAUUUGACUAAGAAACUUUAUGAAAGCCUUGAAGAAAUAAGAAUUGUAGCUAAAGAAAGAGAUGAGCUGAGACAGAUAAAAGAGUCUCUCAAAAUGGAAAGGGACCAAUGCAGAGAAAAAUUAAGAGACCUGCUAGCUAGAGAUCAACAGAACCACAAAGAGGUAAAAUAUGAAAAAAGCUUACUAUGUGAUGGAAACCAACACCUUAUAGGAAGCCUGAGAGAAAAGUGCUUUAGGAUAAAAGAGCUUCUUAAGAGAUACUCAGCGAUGGAUAAGCACUAUGAAUGUUUAAGUAGAUUGUCUCUUGACUUGAAGAAGGAAAUUGAAACCCAAAAAGAGCUUUCAAUUAGAGUAAAAGCAAACCUCUCACUUCCAUAUCCACAAACCAAACAAAUCCAGAAACUUCUCACUGCAAACCAGAGGUGUUCCAUGGAAUUUCAUAGAGUCGUAAUGAAACUUCAGUAUGUGCUAAGCUAUGUUGCAAGGACAAAGGAAGAACAACAUGAAUCCAUCAAUAAAUUUGAAAUGGCUUUUAUUGAUGAAGUGGAAAAGCAAAAUGAACUGCUAAUGGAACUACAGCACUUUCAACAAGAUUAUGAUGUACCACCUGGAGAAUCAAGGGACCUCAAAUUGAACCAGAGCAUGGAUCUACAUAUCGAAGAAAUUCUUAAGGAUUUUUCAGAAAGUGAUUUCCAUAGCAUAAAGACUGAAUUUCAGCAAGUACUAAGUAAUAGAAAAGAAAUGACUCGGUUUUUGGAAGAGUGGUUGAAUGCUCGUUUUGAUAUAGAAAAGCUUAAAAAUGUCAUCCAGGAAGAAAAUGAUAGUAUUUGUCAAGUGAACAACUUGUAUCAUGAGAAAAUAACGGCUAUAAUGAAUGAAUUAACAGAGUUUGAAGAAAGAAAUGCUACCAUAGCCAAAGAAUGGGAACAAGAUCUGAAAUCAGUGAAAGAAAACAAUCAAAAACUAUUUAAAAACUACCAAACUUUGAAGCUCUCCCUGACCUCCGGUGCUCUUGUUAAUCCUACUACACAAGACAGGAAUCUUCAUGUCACAACGAGAGCUACACAGCAAGUCACAGAGAAAAUUCAAGCGCUGGAAACCUCACUCCGUGAAGCUAAAGAAAGUGCUAUGCAUAAGGAGGGCAAGAUUAUGAAGAUGCAGAAAGAGCUUGAGAUGACUAAUGAUGUAAUAGCAGAACUUCAGCGGCAAGUUAAUGAAUCAAAUGAAUGCCUUGAAAAAAGAAAAGAAAUGAUCCAAGUACUUCAGGACAAAGCUGCUUUAGGAGCUAAACCUUAUAAAGAAGAAAUUGAAGAUCUCAAAAUGAAGUUGGUGAAAGUGGACCUAGAGAAAAUGGAAAAUGCGAAGGAGUUUGAAAAGGAAAUUGCUUCAACAAAAGCCACUGUAGAAUAUCAAAAAGAAGUUAUAAGGCAAUUGAAAGAGAAUCUUAGAAGAAAUCAACAGGCCCAAGAUACCUCAAUGCUAUCAGAACAUAUUGAUACUCAGCCUUCAAAUAAACCCUUAACCUGUGGAGGUGGCAGUGGCAUUGUACAAAGCACGAAAGCUCUUAUCCUGAAAAGUGAAUAUAUACGGCUAGAAAAGGAAGUUUCUAAGUUAAAGCAGCAAAAUGAACAGCUCAUGAAGCAAAAGAACGAACUGUCAAGCAAUUAUCAUUAUCUUUCCAGUGAGGUCAAGACAUGGAAGGAGAGAACUCUUAAAAAAGAGGUUCACAAAGAAGUAACUUGUGAGAAUUCUCCAAAGUCUCCUAAAGUGACUGGGACACCCUCUAAAAAGAGACACCAUAUGUCUUCUCAAUGCAAGGAACGGAAUGUCCAAGAUCCUGUGCCAAAGGAGUCGCCGAAAUCUUGGUUUUUUGAUAACCGAUCAAAGUCUUUGCCAGUACCUCCUCCAGUUCGCUAUUUUGAUAACUCAGGUUUAGGCCUUUGUCCAGAAGAACAAACUGCUGAAGUGGAGACCGAGGAUCCCCAGCGAGGUCCUUGGCAAAUGUCGUCAGGAAAAGAGGUGCCAGAGUGCAAGACUCAGUAGGCUCCGCUCUGCCGCGUUUCUGGCGGCCCAGCCUUCCACGUUUGGAAGUGUCUGUGUUUAUUGCUUGAUGUGUCUAUCCCUGGCAGGCAUGUCACAGUCCAGCUUCAGUUCAGUUCCCACUUUGC
rnacentral:lncRNA from 1 species